AGUGAACGCUGGCGGUAUUCCUAACACAUUCAAUUCGAACUUCAUCACAUUAAUAUCUUUCUCUUACUUUUUUCUAUUUUCUUACUUUUUAUUAAUACAUCUUAAUCUACUUUUUCUUUUUUUAUAACUUAUGGAAACUUACGCUAAUACCGCAUACGACCUACGGGUGAAAGCAGGGGAUCUUCGGACCUUGCGCGAUUGAAUGAGCCGAUGUCGGAUUAGCUAGUUGGCGGGGUAAAGGCCCACCAAGGCGACGAUCCGUAGCUGGUCUGAGAGGAUGAUAAGAACAAAUGGAACUGAGACACGGUCCAGACUCCUACGGGAGGCAGCAGUGGGGAAUAUUGGACAAUGGGCGCAAGCCUGAUCCAGCCAUACCGCGUGGGUGAAGAAGGCCUUCGGGUUGUAAAGCCCUUUUGUUGGGAAAGAAAAGCAGCAGGUUAAUACCCCGCUGUUCUGACGGUACCCAAAGAAUAAGCACCGGCUAACUUCGUG
rnacentral:rRNA from 1 species